rnacentral:lncRNA from 1 species
CUUAAAGAGGUGGGGUUUCAGGUGUCUCCGGAAGGUGGUGAUUGACUCCGCUGUCCUGGCGUCGUGAGGGAGCUUGUUCCACCAUUGGGGUGCCAGAGCAGCGAACAGUUUUGACUGGGCUGAGCGGGAACUGUGCUUCCUCAGAGUGACCGUGGAGCACAUGGAUGUCUUGGAGGGAGAUUCAAAUGUUGAUGCCGGGAAAGGAUAGAAAAAGAAAGAUGCUCCCUAAAUCAACCAAGGAAAGGACAAGGACAUACUAUAUAUAAACAAAAUCAAACAUGCUCCUAUAAGAUACCAGGAGUAUCUUAAGAAACAAAAAAGAAAGAUAUGUCAAGAGAAAAUAAAGCAGUGAACCCGAAAUCCAUCUCACAACUCUCCCAGUGAGAAAAAAGCAAAAAGUGGAGGUGAUGGAAAAUUAACCAAAGAAACAGAAGAUCAACUAUCCAGAAAAGAGUGGUUAUGAAGUCAUACCUGGCAAGGAACACACCACCACACUCACCGGAAGUCUUACAGCUACAGAAUGAUGACCUACCUGCCCCUCAAAUGACUCCACAUCUGUGUGAUUGUUUAGGUGGACAGACCGGGAUAAUUCAACAAACAGACGCAGACAAAGCACAACCUUCCACUUUCCACCUGCACAGCAUCUCAUCCAUCUUCUAGCGCAAUACAGCCCAUUGCAGACAUACAAGAGAGACUGAUUGGAAGGUGAUGUGUUGUGAAAUAUGAUGAAGACCGUUACCCUGGUAUUAUACAAGAUGUUGACCCAGAGAGCAGCGCUCUAGUCAAGACCAUGAGUCAUGUGGGAGCCAACUGAUUAUUUGGACCAAUGAAAGAGGACAUUGUAUGGUACCAACCAGAGAAGGGGCUUGGGCUUGUCCCUGAGGCUCAUCCAGCGACAAAAUCACAUAUGAUGCUCGAUGGCGCAGUCUGGGAGAAAAAUUGCUCUCUCGUUAAGCAAUAGAGUGCGUUAAGGGCAAAACCUAAUCUUGAGUGAGCCCACACCAGUCUCACGAGUCUGAAUCAAUAGACUGCAGCCAGUGAACAAUCAUUUGUUUAAUGUCAACCGAUGUUUCCUACCUUGUACUUGUAUUUCUGCCUAAUGCAUUGAAUCCCAAAAAUUGUUCUAAAAUAUGCUUUAAGUUCAUGAGGCAUGUGACCUUUGUUAUUUGAGGUUUUGAAUGGUGUGUUCUAUGUCUUCAAUCAAGAUGAACAUGUACAACUGUGACAUUAAACUGUUUAAUGGUAUUUUUCAUCAGUUUUAUAUGAAAUAUACUUUCCACCACAGUCUGUCAUUAC